rnacentral:rRNA from 1 species
AUUGAACGCUGGCGGCAGGCCUAACACAUGCAAGUCGAACGAGUGGCGGACGGGUGAGUAAUGUCUGGGAAACUGCCCGAUGGAGGGGGAUAACUACUGGAAACGGUAGAUAAUACCGCAUACCAUCGGAUGUGCCCAGAUGGGAUUAGCUAGUUGGUGGGGUAACGGCGCACCUAGGCGAAGAAACCUAGCUGUUCUGAGAGGAUGAUCAGCCACACUGGAACUGAGACACGGUCCAGACUCCUACGGGAGGCAUCAGUGGGGAAUAUUGCACAAUGGGCGCAAUCCUGAUGCAGCCAUGCCGCGUGGAUGAAGAAGGCCUUCGGGUUGUAAAGUACUUUCAGCGGGGAGGCGUUACCCGCAGAAGAAGCACCGGCUAACUCCGUGCCAGCAGCCGCGGUAAUUC